GUGUCAGCAGCCGCGGUAAGACGAACCGUGCAAACGUUAUUCGGAAUCACUGGGCUUAAAGGGCGCGUAGGCGGGCAACCAAGUCCGAGGUGAAAUCCUCCAGCUCAACUGGAGAAGUGCCCCGGAUACUGGCUGCCUCGAGGAGGGUAGGGGCAUCUGGAACUAGCGGUGGAGCGGUGAAAUGCGUUGAUAUCGCUAGGAACUCCGGUGGCGAAGGCGAGGUGCUGGACCCUUUCUGACGCUGAGGCGCGAAAGCCAGGGGAGCGAACGGGAUUAGAUACCCGUGUAGUCC
rnacentral:rRNA from 1 species